UACGUAGGGUGCGAGCGUUGUCCGGAAUUACUGGGCGUAAAGAGUUCGUAGGCGGUUUGUCGCGUCGUUUGUGAAAACCCGGGGCUCAACUUCGGGCUUGCAGGCGAUACGGGCAGACUUGAGUGUUUCAGGGGAGACUGGAAUUCCUGGUGUAGCGGUGAAAUGCGCAGAUAUCAGGAGGAACACCGGUGGCGAAGGCGGGUCUCUGGGCAACAACUGACGCUGAGGAGCGAAAGCGUGGGGGAGCGAACAGG
rnacentral:rRNA from 1 species